CCUGGUGACUUUAGAGAAGAGGAAACACCUGUUCCCAUUCCGAACACAGAAGUUAAGCUCUUCAUCGCCGAUGGUACUGCAUGGGUAACUGUGUGGGAGAGUAGGGCGUUGCCGGGG
rnacentral:rRNA from 1 species